UCUCUCUCUCUCUCUCUCUCUCUCUAUUCAAAAUCGCUCACCAUAAUCGAAAGUUUGCACCUUCUUGUCAAGAAAUCUGCUGCGCCACUGCGACUCUGAAAAUCCGGCGACGUCGUGUCUUCCUCUGGAAUCGACAUCCCUCACCAAUCAUCGUCACACACCGAGGUCUUCGCUUUCAAAUGAUCGCCUCUGCUUUUAGGAUUUCCGGCGAGGCUAGUUGGCGUCGUCGACCGAAUUCGGCGUGCGACCGACCAAGAAGUACGACAAGAGGAUGAUUGUUGAGAUCUACAAAUUGAUUGUUGAUAUUUUUUUGUUUUAAUUAGCUAUAAUUCAUAUUUUAAUUGAUUUGUGAUUUUGGUCUGCAGCUUUGCGUCUGCACUGCUAUUUUUUUUUUGUCAAAUUGAAUGAGCAAUUUGGAAUUUUGGGGAUAUUCAUGCGUCAAUGGCCGGCGACCACUGCCCGAUUUUGAGAAGGAGGCUGUGGUCAACCAUGACUUUGAGAAGAUGGAGGGCAUGGAACGGCGGCCAAUCGCCGGUCUUCUAGAGGCGGCAAUUGGACUGGCUGUGGACGGAGUUCUCGAUCGAACUGGCUGUGGACAGAGUUUUCGUCAAAUUGAAUGAGCAAUUUUAGAAUUUAGGGGAUAUUCAUGCGUCCAGUAAAUCUGAAUAUAUCUGUUCAUUUAGAUAUUGUGUUCUGUUCAUUUAUAAAUUAUUUUCUGUUAAUUUA